UAUAAAUCCAUGAAAUACCCACAUCUUCAACACUGCAUGCAGUUCUGAUUGCCCCAUCUCAAAAAGAUAAAUUGAAACUGGAAAAGGUACAGAGAAGAGCAGCAAAAAUGAUGAGGGGUAUGGAACAGCUUCUGUAUGAGGAGAGAUUAAAAAGACUGGAACUUUUUUAGCUUGGAAAAGAGACGACUAAGGGAGGAUAUGCUAGAGGUUUAUAAAAUCUUGACUGGUGUGGAAAAAGUGAAAAAGGAAGUGUUAUUUACCCCUUCACAUAACACAAGAACUAAGGGUCAUCCAAUGAAAUUAAUAGAAGGAGGUUUAAAACAAACAAAAGGAAGUAUUUCUUCACACAGCGCACAGUCAACCUUUGAAACUCCUUGCCAGGGGAUGUUGUGAAGGCCAAAACUAAACAGGGUUCAAAAAAGAACUAGAUUAAGUUCAUGGAGGACAGGUUCAUCAGUGGCUAUUAGCGAGGAUGAUCAGGGAUGCAACACCAUGCUCUGAGUGCUCCUAGCCUCAGUUUGUCAGAAGCUGGGAGUGGACAACAAGAGAUGAAUCAUUUGAUGAUUGGCUGUUCUGUUCAUUAGCUCUGAAGCACUUGGCACUGGCCACUGUUGGAAGACUGGAUAUUGGGGUAGAUGGACCAUUGGUCUGAACCCAGUGUGGCCGUUCUUAUGUUCAUUCAGCCUGCUGAACACUCCUGGCACCAACUUCGUCUUCCCAAGCUUUUUUAAAUUUAAAAGAAGAGGCUUUUAUAAUAAACCGCUAAUUCUUAAAAAUUGAAAUUGUUUAUUUUUAGAUGGAAUUUGCUAUUUCUGCAGUCCCAGUCUCCGCUUUGUGGUUGCAGAGGGAGGUAGGAUUGCUGCCUGAGGACAUCACCUGCAAAAUAGGUCAGGCAGCUGCGCAGAUGGUCUCCCAGCUGUUAGUCUGUGACAGGAACCCAGUGAAAUGCUGGUCUGUGUGUGAUGUGAGAGAUCCUGUAUCCUUUGGAGCCACGUCCCCAGCCCUGUUUCCCCUGGUCUCCCCCGGCCUGGCUUAUAUAGAACUGAGACAAGAAAUAAGAAGAGACACAUUUUGCAGUAUUCUCUGUUUAUCUUA
rnacentral:lncRNA from 1 species